ACCCCACCUCACCGCCACUCCACACCGCCAUUCCCUUGACCCAACCCCAUCCCUUUCAGAAAGAAAUAAGGAAAGAAACAGGAAAAAAGAAAAGAGAAGAGAGCAGAGGGCGUUGAGGAAGAAGGAGAAAGGGGGAAGAGGGAAGAGAGGAAGACGGCAUCAGCGGGCAUCACUGCCGCCGUGCCGUUGUGUCACCGUCAAAGGAGAGAGGGAGCCGCGCGGAGAAGCCUAGCCGAAGAGAGAAAGGAGGACAUGAGCAAGGGAAGAAGAGAAGGGGAAGCUACCGCCGUUACCCGCGUCGCAGUCGAGGGAAGGGAUCCGCCGCGCCCAGCCGCCACUGUUCAGUCUCAUCUCGUCGCCAGUCGCUGUAGUUGUCGCCAAUGAUGGAGAAGAGAGAGAGACGAACGCGAGGAGAGGGAGAGAAGCCCUUCGCGUUGUUGCUGUCGCGCUGGAGAACUGACCGUCGAGGAAGCUAUUGCUGCGAACUCAUAUUGCCUGCACCGCCGUGAGUCAAGCCGUCACCGUCAUGCCAUCAUCGCGCCGUGGAUCUGCUCCGUCACCGAACUGAGCUAUGGGUGAAGGGUCAGAACUCGACGGGUAAGGGAGACUGUCUCGCCGUCAGAGCUGUGUCACCGUCGUGAACCGCCGCCGUUCUGGUCGUCGGAAGCCACCACCGCGCCUUGUCAUCGCCAGAGUUGCCACCACCGCUUCUCACCGCUGAGGGUAAGCCUUGCCUACGUUGCUGCCUUCCGGGCCAGAUUCACCGAUUAAUCCUACCGUCGUCACUGGCUUGCCAUUUCUGCUCGGUCGUGCCCUUAUUCGCCGUUCUGAUUGUUGAAAGGAAAUGUUGUCGAAGCUAUAGCUUCUCCGUUCCCCAUUCCCUUGUUUCUUUUCUGAGCUGCUGUGUUUGCGGUUAUUACUUUUGCUUGCCGUUCUUCUCCGUUAGCAGAGGGUGCUUGGAAUACAAAUUAUGAUGUAGCUGCUGCAGAAUAAGCUUUACUUUUCAGGAACCGAAUGAAGAAGCACUAAGAAGAGUUAUACUGCGUUUGGUUUAUAUGUUGUUGUAUUAAUUAGAUUAUUUUCUUCCCUCGUCUU